UACGUAGGGUGCGAGCGUUGUCCGGAAUUAUUGGGCGUAAAGAGCUCGUAGGCGGUGUGUCACGUCGGCCGUGAAAACCUGCAGCUUAACUGUGGGCGUGCGGUCGAUACGGGCAUCACUGGAGUUCGGCAGGGGAGACUGGAAUUCCUGGUGUAGCGGUGAAAUGCGCAGAUAUCAGGAGGAACACCGGAGGCGAAGGCGGGUCUCUGGGCCGAUACUGACGCUGAGGAGCGAAAGCGUGGGGAGCGAACAGG
rnacentral:rRNA from 1 species